CGCAUACAUUAAUAAUAUAACAAACGAGAUUAUAAGGAAAAAGAAAGAGUCAAUACAGGAAGAGAAAUUUACCCGUGAAGGAAAUGGUCCAUAUGCGAAUAAAGUAAAAAAUACGAGUCCAUUUUUCGACGCAUUAUUUGAAUCAUUUUACAAUACCGGAGAAUAUUCGGAGGCGAAUAUUCGUGAUGAAAUAAACACAUUUAUUUUUGCUGGAAGUGAUACUUCUGCUGGAACUCUUACAUUUUUAUUUUUA